GGCGCAUUAGUCAAUCGGUUAAGACGCUGCCUUCUCAAGGCAGAAUGAGGGGUUCGACUCCCCUAUGCGCUA
rfam:Candidatus Daviesbacteria bacterium RIFCSPHIGHO2_02_FTLL_36_13 rifcsphigho2_02_scaffold_1811, whole genome shotgun sequence.